GGGUUGUGAGGUUAAGCGACUAAGCGUACACGGUGGAUGCCCCGCAGUCAGAGGCGAUGAAGGACGUGCUAAUCUGCGAUAAGCGUCGGUGAGGUGAUAUGAACCGUUAUAACCGGCGAUUUCCGAAUGGGGAAACCCAGUGUGUUUCGACACACUAUCAUUAACUGAAUCCAUAGGUUAAUGAGGCGAACCGGGGGAACUGAAACAUCUAAGUACCCCGAGGAAAAGAAAUCAACCGAGAUUCCCCCAGUAGCGGCGAGCGAACGGGGAGGAGCCCAGAGCCUGAAUCAGUGUGUGUGUUAGUGGAAGCGUCUGGAAAGGCGCGCGAUACAGGGUGACAGCCCCGUACACAAAAAAAUGCACAUACUGUGAGCUCGAUGAGUAGGGCGGGACACGUGGUAUCCUGUCUGAAUAUGGGGGACCAUCCUCCAAGGCUAAAUACUCCUGACUGACCGAUAGUGAACCAGUACCGUGAGGGAAAGGCGAAAAGAACCCCGGCGAGGGGAGUGAAAAAGAACCUGAAACCGUGUACGUACAAGCAGUGGGAGCCUCUUAAUGGGGUGACUGCGUACCUUUUGUAUAAUGGGUCAGCGACUUAUAUUCUGUAGCAAGGUUAACCGAAUAGGGGAGCCGAAGGGAAACCGAGUCUUAACUGGGCGUUAAGUUGCAGGGUAUAGACCCGAAACCCGGUGAUCUAGCCAUGGGCAGGUUGAAGGUUGGGUAACACUAACUGGAGGACCGAACCGACUAAUGUUGAAAAAAAAAUUAGCGGAUGACUUGUGGCUGGGGUGAAAGGCCAAUCAAACCGGGAGAUAGCUGGUUCUCCCCGAAAGCUAUUUAGGUAGCGCCUCGUGAAUUCAUCUCCGGGGUAGAGCACUGUUUCGGCAAGGGGUCAUCCCGACUUACCAACCCGAUGCAAACUGCGAAUACCGGAGAAUGUUAUCACGGGAGACACACGGCGGGUGCUAACGUCCGUCGUGAAGAGGGAAACAACCCAGACCGCCAGCUAAGGUCCCAAAGUCAUGGUUAAGGGGAAACGAUGUGGGAAGGCCCAGACAGCCAGGAUGUUGGCUUAGAAGCAGCCAUCAUUUAAAGAAAGCGUAAUAGCUCACUGGUCGAGUCGGCCUGCGCGGAAGAUGUAACGGGGCUAAACCAUGCACCGAAGCUGCGGCAGCGACACUAUGUGUUGUUGGGUAGGGGAGCGUUCUGUAAGCCCGUGAAGGUGUACUGUGAGGUAUGCUGGAGGUAUCAGAAGUGCGAAUGCUGACAUAAGUAACGAUAAAGCGGGUGAAAAGCCCGCUCGCCGGAAGACCAAGGGUUCCUGUCCAACGUUAAUCGGGGCAGGGUGAGUCGACCCCUAAGGCGAGGCCGAAAGGCGUAGUCGAUGGGAAACAGGUUAAUAUUCCUGUACUUGGUGUUACUGCGAAGGGGACGGAGAAGGCUAUGUUGGCCGGGCGACGGUUGUCCCGGUUUAAGCGUGUAGGCUGGUUUUCCAGGCAAAUCCGGAAAAUCAAGGCUGAGGCGUGAUGACGAGGCACUACGGUGCUGAAGCGACAAAUGCCCUGCUUCCAGGAAAAGCCUCUAAGCAUCAGGUAACAUCAAAUCGUACCCCAAACCGACACAGGUGGUCAGGUAGAGAAUACCAAGGCGCUUGAGAGAACUCGGGUGAAGGAACUAGGCAAAAUGGUGCCGUAACUUCGGGAGAAGGCACGCUGAUAUGUAGGUGAAGCGACUUGCUCGUGGAGCUGAAAUCAGUCGAAGAUACCAGCUGGCUGCAACUGUUUAUUAAAAACACAGCACUGUGCAAACACGAAAGUGGACGUAUACGGUGUGACGCCUGCCCGGUGCCGGAAGGUUAAUUGAUGGGGUUAGCGGUAACGCGAAGCUCUUUGAUCGAAGCCCCGGUAAACGGCGGCCGUAACUAUAACGGUCCUAAGGUAGCGAAAUUCCUUGUCGGGUAAGUUCCGACCUGCACGAAUGGCGUAAUGAUGGCGGGCUGUCUCCACCCGAGACUCAGUGAAAUUGAACUCGCUGUGAGAUGCAGUGUACCCGCGGCAAGACGGAAAGACCCCGUGAACCUUUACUAUAGCUUGACACUGAACAUUGAGCCUUGAUGUGUGUGGGAUAGGUGGGAGGCUUUGAAGUGUGGACGCCAGUCUGCAUGGAGCCGACCUUGAAAUACCACCCUUUAAUGUUUGAUGUUCUAACGUGGGCCCCUUUACCGGGGUUGCGGACAGUGUCUGGUGGGUAGUUUGACUGGGGCGGUCUCCUCCUAAAGAGUAACGGAGGAGCACGAAGGUUGGCUAAUCCUGGUCGGACAUCAGGAGGUUAGUGCAAUGGCAUAAGCCAGCUUGACUGCGAGCGUGACGGCGCGAGCAGGUGCGAAAGCAGGUCAUAGUGAUCCGGUGGUUCUGAAUGGAAGGGCCAUCGCUCAACGGAUAAAAGGUACUCCGGGGAUAACAGGCUGAUACCGCCCAAGAGUUCAUAUCGACGGCGGUGUUUGGCACCUCGAUGUCGGCUCAUCACAUCCUGGGGCUGAAGUAGGUCCCAAGGGUAUGGCUGUUCGCCAUUUAAAGUGGUACGCGAGCUGGGUUUAGAACGUCGUGAGACAGUUCGGUCCCUAUCUGCCGUGGGCGCUGGAGAACUGAGGGGGGCUGCUCCUAGUACGAGAGGACCGGAGGGACGCAUCACUGGUGUUCGGGUUGUCAUGCCAAUGGCACUGCCCGGUAGCUAAAUGCGGAAGAGAUAAGUGCUGAAAGCAUCUAAGCACGAAACUUGCCCCGAGAUGAGUUCUCCCUGACUCCUUGAGAGUCCUGAAGGAACGUUGAAGACGACGACGUUGAUAGGCCGGGUGUGUAAGCGCAGCGAUGCGUUGAGCUAACCGGUACUAAUGAACCGUGAGGCUUAACCUUACAACGCCGAAG
rnacentral:rRNA from 1 species